rnacentral:lncRNA from 1 species
AUGCGAGGGAGCAGAGAAAGGGAGGUGGGGAAAGCAGGGAUGACAUCAUUUCCCACGGUAGCAUGUACGUAUCGCAGGGUCCAUUUAAUUGCAGCCGUCCUCCUCCCUGUCUUUACCCUGCCACCCCCUCUCCAGACAGCUUGUGUGGGAACUGGAGUGAGGCAAGGGAGAUGCUCUGGGAGUGAACUGAAUGUAAAGAAGUGCGUGGAGCAGAACACGAGAGCUUGGGAAGAGCACCAGAUGCAGGGACACAAACAAGCAGAUGUCCUGAGGCUUCAGUAUGGAAAUACACAAGAAGCCAGAAAAAUUAAUUCCUUUCAUCCAGAAGAAAAAGUUUUGUUCCAUUUACAGUUAGCACAAAACACCAGUAUUCACAGCAGAAGAGUCCUGCCGUUGGCCUCCGCAGCGUCUGGCUUUUGCUCAUGUGCAUCCAGCCCAGAGAUGCAUUGCUGGCCGCAGACUCCACCUCUCCUCACCUGUCUAAGGCUGCACAAGUUAGAAGAAAGUUCCUGCUGUUCAGGAAAGGCCACCUUGCUUUUGAUUUUACUCCACAUCUUUUGUGUUCUGCCAAGCUGCUUCUGUCUAAAGGCAAGACUUUCUCUUUGAUUCUGGUGAUUGCAAAGGGUUACUGAGCCUCCAAAAGACUACUUAGAGGAGUCUUCCCAUGGACAUCAAAUACCUUUAAACCCAAGGAGGCUCCUUCUGAAGACACAGAACAAUUCUGAUUUAUUUAUUUUUUUUAAGCUCUACAUUGUAAUAUAGAUAUUUGCAACUUACCUGCUCCUUCCAGACUGUUUUUUCCUAGUUGAAUUUAAAAGUACCAAAUUCUUCAGCUAUAAUACACACACAUAUAUGUAAUCAUAGAAUUAUAAAAUCACUUACGGGAACAUUUUGUCUCAAUAUGCUUAUAGAGGUAAAUAUUGUCAAUAAAAUUUAUUGUAGAUAAACA